rnacentral:rRNA from 1 species
CCUACGGGAGGCAGCAGUGAGGAAUAUUGGUCAAUGGACGAGAGUCUGAACCAGCCAAGUAGCGUGAAGGAUGACUGCCCUAUGGGUUGUAAACUUCUUUUAUAUGGGAAUAAAAUGUUCCACGUGUGGGAUUUUGUAUGUACCAUAUGAAUAAGGAUCGGCUAACUCCGUGCCAGCAGCCGCGGUAAUACGGAGGAUCCGAGCGUUAUCCGGAUUUAUUGGGUUUAAAGGGACCGUAGGUGGAUUGUUAAGUCAGUUGUGAAAGUUUGCGGCUCAACCGUAAAAUUGCAGUUGAAACUGGCAGUCUUGAGUACAGUAGAGGUGGGCGGAAUGCGUGGUGUAGCGGUGAAAGGCUUAGAGAUCACGAAGAACUCCGAUUGCGAAGGCAGCUCACUGGACUGCAACUGACACUGAGGCUCGAAAGUGUGGGUAUCAAACAGGAUUAGAUACCCUGGUAGUC